UGUCUUCUCUUCUCUCCUCCGCUCUUCUCCCGCGAGCAAGCCCCGACGAGGAUGCUCUCUCCUCCGCUCUUCUCCCGCGGGCAAGCCCCGACGAGGAUGCUCUCUCCUCCGCUCUUCUCCCGUGGGCAAGCCCCGAUGAGGAUGCUCUCUCCUCUGCUCUUCUCCCGCGGGCAAGCCCCGACGAGGAUGCUCUCUCCUCCGCUCUUCUCCUGC
rnacentral:lncRNA from 1 species